GACUUCCUAGCCUAACGGGUAGGAUAUGGUGCUAUAAACCCCAUGUAGCAGGCUCGAAACCUGCCGUGAUCA